GAUGAACGCUGGCGGCGUGCCUAAUACAUGCAAGUCGAGCGAACAGAUAAGGGGCUUGCUCCUUUGACGUUAGCGGCGGACGGGUGAGUAACACGUGGAUAACCUACCUAUAAGACUGUGAUAACUUCGGGAAACCGGAGCUAAUACCGGAUAACAUAUUGAACCGCAUGGUUCAAUAGUGAAAGGCGGCUUUGCUGUCACUUAUAGAUGGAUCCGCGCCGUAUUAGCUAGUUGGUAAGGUAACGGCUUACCAAGGCAACGAUACGUAGCCGAGCUGAGAGGGUGAUCGGCCACACUGGAACUGAGACACGGUCCAGACUCCUACGGGAGGCAGCAGUAGGGAAUCUUCCGCAAUGGGCGAAAGCCUGACGGAGCAACGCCGCGUGAGUGAUGAAGGUCUUCGGAUCGUAAAACUCUGUUAUCAGGGAAGAACAAAUGUGUAAGUAACUGUGCACAUCUUGACGGUACCUGAUCAGAAAGCCACGGCUAACUACGUGCCAGCCGCCGCGGUAA
rnacentral:rRNA from 1 species